GAUGAACGCUGGCGGCGUGCCUAAUACAUGCAAGUCGAGCGAACAGACGAGGAGCUUGCUCCUCUGACGUUAGCGGCGGACGGGUGAGUAACAAGUGGAUAACCUACCUAUAAGACUGGGAUAACUUCGGGAGACCGGAGCUAAUACCGGAUAAUAUAUUGAAGCGCAUGGUUCAAUAGUGAAAGACGGUUUUGCGGUCACUUAUAGAUGGAUCCGCGCCGCAUUAGCUAGUUGGUAAGGUAACGGCUUACCAAGGCAACGAUGCGUAGCCGACCUGUGAGGGUGAUCGGCCACACUGGAACUGAGACACGGUCCAGACUCCUACGGGAGGCAGCAGUAGGGAAUCUUCCGCAAUGGGCGAAAGCCUGACGGAGCAACGCCGCGUGAGUGAUGAAGGUCUUCGGAUCGUAAAACUCUGUUAUUAGGGAAGAACAAAUGUGUAAGUAACUAUGCACGUCUUGACGGUACCUAAUCAGAAAGCCACGGCUAACUACGUG
rnacentral:rRNA from 1 species